GACGAACCGUGCGAACGUUAUUCGGAAUCACUGGGCUUAAAGCGCGUGUAGGCGGAUGGGUGCGUCGGCUUCUGAAGGCCCCCCGGCUCAACCGGGGAAGUGGGGCCGAAACGACCCGUCUGGAGGGACGUAGGGGGAUCUGGAACUUCCGGUGGAGCGGUGAAAUGCGUUGAGAUCGGAAGGAACGCCCGUGGCGAAAGCGAGAUCCUGGACGUCUUCUGACGCUGAGACGCGAAAGCUAGGGGAGCAAACGGGG
rnacentral:rRNA from 1 species